AAAAUCAUAGACUAUGAGAAACUUUGCUGUUUGAAGUAAUUUCAGAGACAAUGUAACAGCUCCUCUUAAAGAAUCUGGGCCAUGUGUGUCACUUUGACACAGAGAAACUGCCUCGAUUUUCAGUGCAGGGGCAGAGAUUCAGAUAAGAGUUUUCCAGAUGCAGCAUUCCACAUUUAUCUUAACUUUGUAGUUUCUAAGGAAACAGGACCUGAGUCAGCUUUUCAACAAUGCUGGUAGUUAGACUGUAAUGUUCCUGUCCCUCUGAGCUUAAGGUCACAAGGGCAGGAGUGGGCACGGCGACUGUGCUAGACCCACUUCCCCAGCCUCAAGAGGCCCCAGGUUGUUUGAGUUAGAGGGGACUCUGGCAGUGACUCACCCUUACCCCACAUCCCAUAAAGAAGGAAACUGAAGGCCAAAGAGAGAGAGAGGAUUCAACUCAUUCAAGGACUUCCGCAGCCCUGCUUUGAUCUUCUUACCUGCUGAGCAGAGUUUGCUGUGAUCAUCAAUCCAAAGAAUUUUGGUGUGGUGGUGAAGCCCCAGUGUCUGUAUUGGAACACCAUGUGAUCUGGAGCCUGGAACUAUUGAAAAUAAAGGAAGAAAAAGUUUGAACAAAGGUGUGACGUCAUUGGAAACAAUCUCUGGAUGAAGCCUAAAAGAUGUCACUGUAUUUGGUCAUUAGAGCACAAAAUUCUUCUGCAACUUAGAAACAAAAGAGAAUCUGCAAGUUGAGAAAGUAGGUGAUAAAGGCCCUUUGUUGAUAUCUUGUAGAGAAUGGAAGAUAAAUGUUAAUAGAGAAAAGAAAUUUGUUUAGAGUAAAAAUUACAUUGUAUUUGAUAGGAAAAAACUGAAGAAGUUAAAGGGAAAGAGGUGAAGAAAGGCAUGAAGCUAAGAAAAGGAUACAGGCAAAGGAUAAAACACAGCUGUUGAGACCAGGCUUAGAAUUAUCAUUUUAACAAAUAAAAUCCUCUCCUUUGAAUGAAUACUGUUUGGUUAAAAUAAUUCAAUUGUCCUGACAAAUUUUUCAAACAUAAGUGCUGAGGACAAUUUUAUUUCUAUAUGGGAAAUUAAGUACCAUCUUCAAACAC
ensembl:lncRNA